UCCCUCCCUCCCUCUUUCUGCCUCUGUUCUGCCACCUUCUCUACUCGGCGAUCAGCAUUUGGCUUUUUCCAUUUGUGGCAGAUUACUGUAACGCUAUUGUACAACAACUUCCUGCCUCUUUUGGCUCUGGUUCUAAAAACUGCAAAAGCAGAGCUCGUGGCUUCAACUUUUUCCCCUCGGCCUUGAACUGCAGGAGCUCUAGAAGGAAAGAAAAGGAGGAAGGAGAUAUGUAAAGUGUGUCUGUUACUGAGGAACUAUUUUGGUUGCAUUUCUGCUUUAUAAACUGCUGAGAAUUAAAGAGGGCAAGAGGGGACUACAAGCCUAGCAGAGACAAUGAGAGAAAAAAGGAUUCACAACGAAGAAGAAGAGGAAGAGAGACAGAGAGAGAGAAAAAGAGCAAGUGAGAGUUUCUCCUGGGAACAAGCUGGAAAUUAUGGACCUAUUCGAUAUCAGACCUCAGAGUGGACAACCUAUCCAAAGAGGGACGCGCCCUAACUGUAACUAACAACUACUUCUGGCAGCCCUUCAACAGCCAAACAUAUUGUCCUGGACCAGGGCAGCUUUCAUAUGGCAGCACCGAACUAGGGCAGCGCAGGCAAGAAAUCUAAUCUAAUUAAAGUAAAUGAAUGUGGGGUUUUUAUGAGAAAUAGAUCAAGCUGUAAACUAUGAUACCUUCAAGAUUUUACUCAUCAAACUUGAAACAUGUUAGGAAGAUACAGAGGAGAGAAAAAUAAACUUUUCUACACCUUUAACCAUCUGACACAAAAAAGGGAUAAUCCUGACAGUUUAUUAUAUAUUUUUAUUAUUAUGAAAUACUAUAUGUGCUAUUAAUAUGUACAAUUACUUUUUUCACCCUGUGGUUUUACCAGACCAUAAAUAAACCCCGAAACAGCAUUAAAAGCUGAUUUAACCUUAUUUUCAAAGUCUAAAUUUUCAGUUAAAAACUCUCUGACCAAACUAUUUUAAAGCAGAAGUAAUUUAUACAUUUUU